rnacentral:misc_RNA from 1 species
UAAUAAGUGUUUUAUGGCACUUUUUAAAUCCAUAUCCACCUUGUGUGCAAUGUCAGGUCGAUCUUCUCCAUGGAGAUCGACCAAACAUCAACCUUUAUCUUUUAACUCUUUGUCUGAAAAAUAUUAUGAAUAAACAAUUCAAAAUA